GUUUAUGGAUGAUGAUCAGAACUGGAGUUUCAAACAAAUUCCAAUCCAACUGAUAUAUGAUGGGAGAAAAGAGAAGCAGAUGAAGAUAUCAGAUUCCCCAAGUUUCUCUCUUUUCAGAAGUUCAAGUUAGGAGACGCGGUGUGAUCCAAAGGCGGCAAAAACUGCGGUUCUUUUGUUGUUUUGUGGCUCUAACAUGGGGAAU